UGGAGGCAACGGGUUCGAACCCGUGACUUUCCGCAUGCGAAGCGGACACUCUACCACUGAGUUAUGCCCCC
rnacentral:tRNA from 1 species